rnacentral:rRNA from 1 species
AAACCUUACCAACCCUUGACAUAUUGAAAAAUAAUUUAAAUUAAUAAAUUUUUUUUAUUAUUGAUAUUAGUUAAAAAAUUAAUAANUUUUUCAUUACAGGUGUUGCACGACUGUCGUCAGUUCGUGUCGUGAGAUGUUUGGUUCAUUCCUUUAAACGAGCGUAACUCUUGUUUUUAAAAAUUUACUUUUAAUUUUUNAUUUUUAUUAAAAAUUUUGUUUUAAAAAGACUGUUUGUUAAUUAAAACUUUAAAGGAAGGUGAGAAUUAAGUCAAGUCACUGUGGCCCUUAUGGGUUGGGCUACACACGUGCUACAAUGAAAAUGACAAAAAGUAACAAAAAAUUUUAGUUAAUCUUUAAAAAUUUUCUUAGUUCGAAUUGUAAACUGCAACUCGUUUACAUGAAGAUGGAAUCACAAGUAAUCGCAAAUCAGAACGUUGCGGUGAAUACGUACCUUGGCUUUGUACACACCGCCCGUCACAUGCAGAAAGUUAGUUUUACUUGAAAAUUUAAUUCUUUUNUGCUUUUUUNAAAANNNAAAAA